GUAUUUGGUAUUGGAAGAAUUAUUAUCUACAGAUUUAUUGUUUACAGUUUAAAGACAGAGCUAUAAGGUACUUCACCUUGUUUCCAGACUCUGGUUACUUUAUUAAAAACCCCUUCAUGGGUAAGAACAUUAUUAUUAUUAGUAAGAUUAUUUAGAUUAUGCCUGUAUAUUUCAUACGGGUUAACAGGAGGUAGUUUCCCUUUAAAGUAUUUAUAUAGACUAAGUAUAUAUAAAAGUAGUAGUUAGAAUAGAGAUUUUAGUGUUAAUAUGUAAUAUAUUAUUUUAAUGAAUAUGAAUGAAUUGAUUUUAUAUGUUGGAUUAUGUUAUUUAUACUGUAAUUGUAUAAUUUCAGGGUUUUUAUUAUAAGGUAAUAAAUUGCUGUUUUACUGAA